AGCAGCAUGGCGCAGUGGUAGCGCGCGGGGCCCAUAUAUCAAAUUUCCACUCGCGACAGGUGGUACCCCGAGGUCACUUGAUCGAAACAAGUUGCUGCUA